CCAACAGGUAUUCCCUCAGUAACGGCGAGUGAAGUGGGAAGAGCUCAAGCCGUCAAUCUCCGACCGUCGGUCGGCGAAUUGUAGUCUGGAGAAGCGCUAUCCGUGCGACGCUCGGCGGUGUAAGUUGCUUGGAACGGCAUAUCGCAGAGGGUGAGAAUCCCGUCUUGGACCGUGGAGCGCGCACCACGAGGCGCUUUCGAAGAGUCGGGUUGUUUGGGAAUGCAGCCCAAAGCGGGUGGUAAACUCCACCUAAGGCUAAAUAGGGGCACGAGACCGAUAGCGAAAAAGUACCGUGAGGGAAAGAUGAAAAGCACUUUGAAAAGAGAGUCAAAGAGUACGUGAAACCGUUGGAGGGGAAGCGAAUGCGGCCAGCAAUGUCAUCGUGCAGACUCAGCCGGCCGCCGGGCGAGGCGUCGGACCACGGAUCCGAAGGGACCGCGUCUUUCGUCCCGAGCCUGGCGUCCGCGUCGCAUUUCUGCCGAAGACGAGCCAGCGCCGGUGGGAGGCGUCGUCGUGGCGGCAUCGUGAGGUGGAUGCGCUCCUCAGGAGUGCUUCGUUAUAGACGUUGUCGUAGGCGUCGUCUCGCACCGUGGAGACGGAAUGCCGGUGGCGGCGCACGCCGGCUUUGCCGGCUAGGCGGGGUCCGGACGUCCGGAUGGCCCUGUGCGGACUGCAUGCAGUGCGCGCCGUGGCCUUCUUGGCGUCGUGGCCUGCGGCCGUAGGUGCGCCGAGGGCGCUGGCGGUGAAAUGGCCUCAUCCGACCCGUCUUGAAACACGGACCAAGGAGUCUAACACGCGUGCGAGUCCUGGGGCACGGAAACCCUCGGGCGCAAUGAAAGUGAACGUCUGGGUGAGAGCCGCCCAUGGUGGGCGGCGCGUCAUCGACCGAUCU
rnacentral:rRNA from 1 species